UACAGAGGUCUCAAGCGUUGUUCGGAUUCAUUGGGCGUAAAGGGUGCGUAGGUGGCGCCGUAAGUCAGGUGUGAAAUUUCGGAGCUUAACUCCGAAACUGCAUUUGAUACUGCGGUGCUUGAGGACUGGAGAGGAGACUGGAAUUUACGGUGUAGCAGUGAAAUGCGUAGAGAUCGUAAGGAAGACCAGUGGCGAAGGCGGGGCUCUGGACAGUGCGUGACACUGAGGCACGAAGGCCAGGGGAGCAAGCGGG
rnacentral:rRNA from 1 species